UGAAGUUUGAACACUGAAGACUGUGUAAAGAGCGAGGUAAAGAGUGAAGACUGAAGAGGGAUUUGGCAUUCAGAAUGAGUUCCAUAUAUAUAACAGAGCCCCCUACUAAAGGAAAGGUACUAUUAAAGACCACACUGGGUGAUAUUGAUAUUGAACUGUGGUCCAAAGAGGCUCCUCUGGCCUGUCGUAACUUCA